GACGGACGCUGGCGGCGUGCUUAACACAUGCAAGUCGAACGGAAAGGCCCCAGCUUGCUGGGGUACUCGAGUGGCGAACGGGUGAGUAACACGUGGGUGAUCUGCCCUGCACUCUGGGAUAAGCCUGGGAAACUGGGUCUAAUACCGGAUAGGACCGUGCUUUAGUGUGUGCGGUGGAAAGUUUUUCGGUGCAGGAUGAGCCCGCGGCCUAUCAGCUUGUUGGUGGGGUAAUGGCCUACCAAGGCGGCGACGGGUAGCCGGCCUGAGAGGGUGUACGGCCACAUUGGGACUGAGACACGGCCCAGACUCCUACGGGAGGCAGCAGUGGGGAAUAUUGCACAAUGGGCGCAAGCCUGAUGCAGCGACGCCGCGUGGGGGAUGACGGCCUUCGGGUUGUAAACCCCUUUCGACAGGGACGAAGCUUUUGUGACGGUACCUGCAUAAGAAGCACCGGCUAACUACGUG
rnacentral:rRNA from 1 species